rnacentral:rRNA from 1 species
GACGAACGCUGGCGGCGUGCCUAACACAUGCAAGUCGAGCGAAUGAAGUUCCUUCGGGAGUGGAUUUAGCGGCGGACGGGUGAGUAACACGUGGGCAACCUGCCUCAUAGAGGGGAAUAGCCUUCCGAAAGGGAGAUUAAUACCGCAUAAGAUUGUAGUAUCGCAUGAUACAGCAAUUAAAGGAGCAAUCCGCUAUGAGAUGGGCCCGCGGCGCAUUAGCUAGUUGGUGAGGUAACGGCUCACCAAGGCGACGAUGCGUAGCCGACCUGAGAGGGUGAUCGGCCACAUUGGGACUGAGACACGGCCCAGACUCCUACGGGAGGCAGCAGUGGGGAAUAUUGCACAAUGGGGGAAACCCUGAUGCAGCAACGCCGCGUGAGUGAUGACGGCCUUCGGGUUGUAAAGCUCUGUCUUCAGGGACGAUAAUGACGGUACCUGAGGAGGAAGCCACGGCUAACUACGUG